rnacentral:lncRNA from 1 species
GUCAGUUGCUGGCCAGACCUCCCAAAGAACUGCCACUCCAGGUUCCUGUCUGCAAGCACCUCUUGACCACAGGAGCAGUGUCUGGUUUGGCUACUGCAGACAGGAUGGAUCCCCAGUGUGGGAUCCUAUCUGAUAAAGUCAUUUCUCGCACAGUGAGAGGAGCAUUGGAUCAUCAGAGAUUCAUGUUCUGUAGUACCAGGAAGCAUUUGUGAACACCGAAAGACCAAUCAGGUGCCGAUCCGAUCCGAUACAAUCACACAAGAGUCUUUAUUCACAAGUUCAAACUCGGGCUUAAGUCAUGCUGACCCACAAGAUGGUUUCGGUGGAUAAAAGCCCCAAACACUCCUCAGGACAAGAUUUUAUAGGAAAUAUCAAGAGAAGGCAGCCAGAAUAUAGCACUUCAGAAACAAAGUACCAGAGAAACAAAUGGACAGCAAACAUCAAUUCUGAAAUACAUUGUCUCUGAUCUAUGCAGCUUGGAUAGUGAAUUUCUUUCCAUAAAUAGUUAAUAAGAUUAAAAUAUUUGGUGCACAAUUUAAAAAGAAAGGUCAUGGAGAGGAAUAUCCAGAGGAUGAUACUUUGCCCCAGGAAAAUGUACAGCUCAUUGCCUACGUUAAAUGACUAUGCAACUGCACAAGAACCUAAGAGAUGGUACUCACCACUCUAAUAUAAGGAGCACACAGCCAAGCUUUGUGUUUGUUUUUUUUUUUUCCACAAAUUGCUUGGUUUUUUUUUUUCCCUAAAAUGUUGAACAUCAGUUAGACAUUACCAGAAAAUAAAUUAUUACUCACC